CUUGUUUUCAAGAUAUUAGCCAUUUGAAUUUUGGCGGGAAAAUGUUCUCUCUUGAUUUUUCAUAGCUUUAUCAUUGACCAGUUAAAGUUCUCAAAAACUAUUAAAAAAUAAAUAAGAUUUAAUAACACUUUUACAAAUGGCUUAUAAUUAUACAUGCAAAAGAUUUAUAAAAAGAAGAAUGGGGGUCCAUGGGCAAAAUUUUUUAAGGCAUU
rnacentral:lncRNA from 1 species